rnacentral:rRNA from 1 species
UACAGAGGUCUCAAGCGUUGUUCGGAUUCAUUGGGCGUAAAGGGUGCGUAGGUGGCGCUGUAAGUCGGGUGUGAAAUUUCGGAGCUUAACUCCGAAACUGCAUUCGAUACUGCGGUGCUUGAGGACUGGAGAGGAGACUGGAAUUCAUGGUGUAGCAGUGAAAUGCGUAGAUAUCGAGAGGAACACCUGCGGCGAAGGCGGGGUUGCUGGGCUGAUACUGACGCUGAGGCGCGAAAGCCAGGGGGAGCG